ACGGGUGCGGAACACGUACGCAACCUUCCUUCAAGCGGGGCAUAGCUUUCGGAAACGAAAAUUAAUACCCCAUAGCAAUAUCUGAGGGCAUCUGAGGAUAUUUAAAGAUUUAUCACUUGAAGAUGGGCGUGCGCCUGAUUAGGUAGUUGGCGGGGUAACGGCCCACCAAGCCUACGAUCAGUAACUGGUGUGAGAGCACGACCAGUCACACGGGCACUGAGACACGGGCCCGACUCCUACGGGAGGCAGCAGUAAGGAAUAUUGGUCAAUGGACGCAAGUCUGAACCAGCCAUGCCGCGUGGAGGAUGAAGGUCCUCUGGAUUGUAAACUUCUUUUAUCGGAGAAGAAACCCCCGAGUUCUCUUGGGGUUGACGGUACCCGAUGAAUAAGCACCGGCUAACUCCGUGCCAGCAGCCGCGGUAAUACGGAGGGUGCAAGCGUUAUCCGGAUUCACUGGGUUUAAAGGGAGCGUAGGUGGGCUGGUAAGUCAGUGGUGAAAUCUCCGGGCUUAACUCGGAAACUGCCGUUGAUACUAUCAGUCUUGAAUAUUGUGGAGGUAAGCGGAAUAUGUCAUGUAGCG
rnacentral:rRNA from 1 species